rnacentral:rRNA from 1 species
CAGCAGCCACGGUAAUACGAAGGGGGCUAGCGUUGUUCGGAUUUACUGGGCGUAAAGGGCGCGUAGGCGGGCUGAUAAGUCGGGGGUGAAAUCCCAAGGCUCAACCUUGGAACUGCCUUUGAUACUGUUGGUCUUGAGUCCGGGAGAGGUGAGUGGAACUGCGAGUGUAGAGGUGAAAUUCGUAGAUAUUCGCAAGAACACCAGUGGCGAAGGCGGCUCACUGGCCCGGAACUGACGCUGAGGCGCGAAAGCGUGGGGAGCAAACAGGAUUAGAUACCCGAGUAGUCCCUGUCUCUUAUAC